rnacentral:lncRNA from 1 species
GGCAGGGAUAGCAGCAGGGAGACAGGACCCAGGGAUGUACUCUCCUGCAGUUCCUCAUCUGCUGUAAGCUGAGACAUAAGGGUGAAGAGGGAGAGUUACAGAGAAGACGGGCCUCAUGAAAUGCACUGAGAAUUUCAGACUGCAGAGUUAAAUGGGGGAGCAUCCUUACCCUACAGAGUCUAGGGUGGACAUAACUUGGGUAAGCCUGGCCUGAAGUCAGUGUGGGCCCAGCUGCUCUAGUUUCAGUGUCGGGGGAUGAGGUGUUUGUUGGUGCAUCCCAGCUGAAAUGAAGGUGUGUGAAACUUACAGGCAGUUCUAUCUCGUAAGCUCCUGGAGAUACUGUUGGCUUUGUUGGGCAGCACCAUACAGUUUACUUUCCAGAUUCAAACUGAAACCUAGAAGAGACAAGAAAUGUAUUAAAUUCUGUUGCAAGGAAAUCAUGGCCAAGAUAUAA